rnacentral:lncRNA from 1 species
GAACCAAUUAUGUUUUUAUUAUAGAUUUGCAUCCUUAAUAGUUUUCGGAUGAUGGUAUAUUCAUAUAUUAGAUAAACAAUUUUUGAAUGAUAUUAAAAGAUACAUAUUAUAAAUUUAGAUUUAUUAUUAUUUAAUUUUAUAUUCUGAUAUUAAAAAUUUUAUAUAAUAAUAAUAUAAAAGAAAUUUUUAUGCUAACAUGCGGUUCUUUCUCUAUGCCAUUGUUGG